rnacentral:rRNA from 1 species
UACGUAGGGUGCAAGCGUUAAUCGGAAUUACUGGGCGUAAAGCGUGCGCAGGCGGUUUUGUAAGUCUGUCGUGAAAGCCCCGGGCUCAACCUGGGAAUUGCGAUGGAGACUGCAAGGCUUGAAUCUGGCAGAGGGGGGUAGAAUUCCACGUGUAGCAGUGAAGUGCGUAGAGGUGUGGAGGAACACCGAUGGCGAAGGCAGCCCCCUGGGUCAAGAUUGACGCUCAUGCACGAAAGCGUGGGGAGCAAACAGG